UACGAGGGGGGCGAGCGUUGUUCGGAAUUAUUGGGCGUAAAGGGUGCGUAGGCGGUUUGGUAAGUCUGAUGUGAAAUCUAUGGGCUCAACUCAUAGUCUGCAUCGGAAACUGCCGGGCUUGAGUGUGGGAGAGGUGAGUGGAAUUCCUGGUGUAGCGGUGAAAUGCGCAGAUAUCAGGAAGAACACCGGUGGCGAAGGCGGGUCUCUGGGCCGUAACUGACGCUGAGGAGCGAAAGCGUGGGGGAGCGAACAGG
rnacentral:rRNA from 1 species